CCACAAGCUUGGCGGUGUUCGACAUCAACACCAUCGAGGAGCCAUGGCUGAAGCACCUCAACAACACCACCCCUCUCCCCCAAGACAAUAAUAAACCCUCCCUCCCCGCCCCUAUUCUCCACAAACUCAACUUGCUCGACGCCACCGAUGCCCCCCAAUCCUGGGAUGAGAUUAGCAAAACACUCCAAGACCUCAAACCCCCCUCCACCUCACCCCAACAACAACCUCAACCUCCACAAAAGACCAAGUCCUUCCACACGGUGGAAGAGCUAGACGCCAAGCUCAACCCCAAGCCCGAGCCCAAGCCCAAGCCCAAUCCAGAAUUGAAAAAGCCCGCUGAUCAGAUAAUUAACAGUAGCAUAGUUACCGAGCCAGUCCGAGGGAACAAGUUGAAGGAAAACAUGUUCAUAGUUCGGGACAGGCUGGAGAGACAGAAGGAAGAGAAGGAGCUCACCUUCGAGCGUCUUCGUCGGGACCCGCUGAGCGCGUUCCCGGAGAAGUGUCCGCCGGGAGGGAGCGAGAAGGUGGUGUUGUACACG
rnacentral:lncRNA from 1 species